GGUCUUGACAUCCUCUGACAAUCCUAGAGAUAGGACGUCCCCUUCGGGGGCAGAGUGACAGGUGGUGCAUGGUUGUCGUCAGCUCGUGUCGUGAGAUGUUGGGUUAAGUCCCGCAACGAGCGCAACCCUUGAUCUUAGUUGCCAGCAUUCAGUUGGGCACUCUAAGGUGACUGCCGGUGACAAACCGGAGGAAGGGGGGGAUGACGUCAAAUCAUCAUGCCCCUUAUGACCUGGGCUACACACGUGCUACAAUGGGCAGAACAAAGGGCAGCGAAACCGCGAGGUUAAGCCAAUCCCACAAAUCUGUUCUCAGUUCGGAUCGCAGUCUGCAACUCGACUGCGUGAAGCUGGAAUCGCUAGUAAUCG
rnacentral:rRNA from 1 species